UGCACACUCCCCUCAUAAAAGCUCCGAACGUUUGCUUCGUUCGAUUGAGCCAAGCGGAGUUGUGCCAGAGCAUUUGAAUGGUUGGGUGUCCAGAUAACUUUCCAUAGUUAAACUUGGCCAAUAAUCAUUUGGACAGCA
rnacentral:snoRNA from 1 species